GAGUUUGAUCAUGGCUCAGGACGAACGCUGGCGGCGUGCUUAACACAUGCAAGUCGAACGGAAAGGCCCUGCUUUUGUGGGGUGCUCGAGUGGCGAACGGGUGAGUAACACGUGAGUAACCUGCCCUUGACUUUGGGAUAACUUCAGGAAACUGGGGCUAAUACCGGAUAGGAGCUCCUGCUGCAUGGUGGGGGUUGGAAAGUUUCGGCGGUUGGGGAUGGACUCGCGGCUUAUCAGCUUGUUGGUGGGGUAGUGGCUUACCAAGGCUUUGACGGGUAGCCGGCCUGAGAGGGUGACCGGCCACAUUGGGACUGAGAUACGGCCCAGACUCCUACGGGAGGCAGCAGUGGGGAAUAUUGCACAAUGGGCGGAAGCCUGAUGCAGCAACGCCGCGUGCGGGAUGACGGCCUUCGGGUUGUAAACCGCUUUCGCCUGUGACGAAGCGUGAGUGACGGUAAUGGGUAAAGAAGCACCGGCUAACUACGUGCCAGCAGCCGCGGUAAUAC
rnacentral:rRNA from 1 species